CCCCGAUCAUGUUUGCAAAUCAAACAAUUUGCUCAAAAAGAAUGAUUAUUCUCAGUUAAAGGAAAAUGUUCUUCUCAAACUUAGACGAGUUGAUACGUACCUCUCCCGUCUCAGUGCUUGCACUUAAUCCCUGUAGUGCGCGGUGUCACUAUGCUAGCGUUUAGCGCAGUAAUAUCAUCACUCAUGAGAGUGGGAGUUUUCAGGAGUGAUGAUAUUACUGUGCCAAGGUUGAAUUGCAUUUUCCUUUAAGAGUUUGUUAUUGGUCUAGGUCAGGGGUAGGCAACGUCGGUCCUGGAGUGCCGAUGUCCUGCAGAGUUUAGCUCCAACCCUGAAAAAAAACCUCACUUGUCUGUAGCCUUAAGCUGUGUCCCAAAGUUGAGUGUGCACACUUCGAAGGCCACGGACUUCGAAGACCAGACCUCCGAAGUGCACGAAGGGUGCUCCGAAGUGCGUGAGAUGCUCCGCCUUCACAGGAUUUCCUUAUUCCGUUACCAGGUGUUUCCGAUUAGCGCUCUGUCGCAUAGCAACGGUGCGAGAAGAGCGCUGACGAGAGGACAGUCCUGCCAGGAUAGGUGGAGCCAGAACUGCUCGUUUUUGUUUUUAUGAUUUACUCAUAAUGGAGGAGACUGUGAUGAACCUCAGGCUUAACCAAGACCGAGGCCAGGUAAACUACACUGGUUUGCUGCGAUCUUUGUCGGAUUACAACUUUAAAUGCAGACCAGACCCCUGUACUGCAGGAUAAAGCUGAAUGUGGCAGCGCUGGACAGGUGUUUAAUGGUUUUGUUCUGAGCAGGGAGACCCUGACUGUGCUGCUGGAUCUUCUGGGAAGUGAAGGGCAACAGUGAUGGUGUGCCACGAUCCAGACCCUGGUGUUUCUCUUCUGUCUGCUAGUGGUCUCCAGAGUGUUUGACAUGUGCCUCGUUCCACUGUCACCGCACUGUCCUCCGAGUCUCUGAGGAGGUGCUGGCCAUUCACCAAGAGAUUGACCUCCUGAAGACCCCAGAACACAUGGAGGCAGGGCCGGGCUCAAACUGAUGUUGUUUUCUGAUGUUAAACCUAAGAUAUGUUGUAAAUGGUUGUAAAAAGUACUUUCUGUUAUGUAUAGAGCAAUUUGUUUUGAUGUGUAAAAAAGUAUUUACAGGACAAACAAAUAAACAUAUAAAAGAAUGUUUUGUGAAAAAAAUUAUAAGCUACAUUAAAAAAA
ensembl:lncRNA